GAUGAACGCUGGCGGCGUGCCUAAUACAUGCAAGUCGAGCGAACGGACGAGAAGCUUGCUUCUCUGAUGUUAGCGGCGGACGGGUGAGUAACACGUGGAUAACCUACCUAUAAGACUGGGAUAACUUCGGGAAACCGGCGCUUAUACCGGAUAAUAUUUUGAACCGCAUUGUUCAAAAGUGAAAGACGGUCUUGCUGUCACUUAUAGCUGCAUCCGCGCUGCAUUAGCUAGUUGGUAAGGUAACGGCUUACCAAGGCUACGAUGCAUAGCCGACCUGAGAGGGUGAUCGCCCACACUGGAACUGAGACACGGUCCAGACUCCUACGGGAGGCAGCAGUAGGGAAUCUUCCGCAAUGGGCGAAAACCUGACGGAGCAACGCGGCGUGAGUGAUGAAGGUCUUCGGAUCGUAAAACUCUGUUAUGAGGGAAGAACAGAUGUGUAAGUAACUGUGCACAUCGUGACGGUACCUAAUCAGAAAGCCACGGCUAACUACGUG
rnacentral:rRNA from 1 species